rnacentral:rRNA from 1 species
CCUACGGGUGGCUGCAGUGAGGAAUAUUCCGCAAUGGACGAAAGUCUGACGGAGCGACGCCGCGUGGAUGAAGAAGGCCGAAAGGUUGUAAAGUCCUUUUGUUGGGGAAGAAUAAGCGCGGGAGGGAAUGCCCGCGUGAUGACAUGAACCGACGAAUAAGCCCCGGCUAACUACGUGCCAGCAGCCGCGGUAACACGUAGGGGGCGAGCGUUGUUCGGAAUUACUGGGCGUAAAGGGCAUGUAGGCGGCCUUGUAAGCCUGGCGUGAAAGUCACCGGCUUAACCGGUGGAUUGCGUCGGGAACUGCAGGGCUUGAGUCACGGAGAGGGAGCUAGAAUUCCUGGUGUAGGGGUGAAAUCUGUAGAGAUCAGGAAGAAUACCAAUGGCGAAGGCAAGCUCCUGGCCGAUGACUGACGCUGAGGUGCGAAAGUGUGGGGAUCAAACAGGAUUAGAUACCCCAGUAGUC